GAGUCUGGGUUACCCACAUGUUUGAGUGAACUCCACACCAAGCUCACGUCCACGUGUAUUAGCCCCAUGAUCCUAUGGGGAAGGGUGUCAAGUGGACCAGCUCAAGCAAACUCUGACCCUCUGUGAGAUAACACCUCCUGAACCUGUGCCAGCUGUCACCCAACUGAACCAGCUGGAACUAGUACCAGCUGGGACCAACUGGACCAGGACUGCCGAUGGUCCCAGACAACAGGCUGUCUUCUGAAAUCAGCACAAUAUGGUUACAAUUUCAACAUUAGGAGAAGUGGUCCUGAAAGGUCACUUCUACCAUGACUAGAGACAGCUUCCUCCUAUCCAUCAGGAGCACGCUACGCCUUGGUCUCCUGUCCCUAAGUAUGAGGAGGGUGAAAGUCAGGAAGAUGGCAGCAGUAACAGUGACAGCACUGUCAAGUCAGACAUGGAAGUUUAUAAUCCCAGCUUUCAAUCUCAGCCCUCAGGAACUGGAGGAGACGGAAGGGCCAAGGAGUUCAAGGACACUGUCAGCUGUGAAUUGAGUUUGAGACCAGUAUGGGUUACGUGAGACCCUCUCUAAACAAAAUAGAGCUUUUGAAAAGCAACUGUCACUUAGUAAUCAUGUAUUACAUGUGAUGUGCGUGUGUGUCCCAGUCCGUCAGGGCUUUACACUGUGCUCACUGUGAGGUACCACUGCCAAGACUGAUCUAUAUAAAAGAAAAGAAGAGACCAAGAGAUCAGGUUAACUUGCCCAAAGUCACACAGGGAUGGAUGGACCAGCUGGAAUCUGACCCCAGGAAGUCUACAACCAAAACACUAAACAGCCUUCUGUAAUUAUGUCUGCUCCUAUCUUAAUCCAGAAACCACAUAAUGAGUAGCCACAGUUGUCUGCAAAUUACAGAUGAGAAGAAAGUGCGCAAGAUGAUUUUGUCCAGCGAGGCAGCUUCGGGGCCAGGAGUCCAGCAAACUGUCUGACCCCCUGCAGUCUGCACUUUCUCAGUUAGUGGCAGACUGGUAGGUUCAAUCAGCCAGUGUGGGACUUCUGUACAGAGGAGGUGACACUGCCUUCCCAAGGAGGUCAUGGGGAAGGGUGAACCAGAUACCACAAGCCUGCUCUCUGCACCAGCCCGUCCCCCAAGCAGGAGGCUCAUCCUAACACUGACAUCUCAGAGAUCUGCUGCCUUCCUGCGUCUGUCUGGCACCAUGCUCUGACUCCGAUUCCCGACGUCUCCCACCUUCCCUAAGACGUCCUGAUCCCAAAUUCGACUAGCUCAAGAAAGGACGGGUAAGGAGAUAUUUGUAAAAGCUACAGAAGAACAAUGAGUCGAGACAGGAACAAAACCUCCCAGUGGAAUGAGGAAGUAGGGCCUGGAGUUGGACCCAGUUCCAUGACUACGAGGUACUGCUACACACAGAACUCAGGGGGACGUCGCGCUCCCUUCGCUCUCUGUCAUGCUGCAGAGUUCCCAACCCACCGUGCAGGGAAGACAGGCAUAAACACAACAGAAUCCAGCCUUUUUUGGCAGAAGAGCUUCUUUUUGCCAUCAGCAAAUUCUUAUCUUUCUGGGACAGACUAUUCCUUACAGCCCACUGACUGGACAAAUGCCCACGAAUCAAAAGCUAUGAAUUCAACAUUUCCCCAUGGGCCCCUUGCCUGUUACUCAUAGCAUGUCCACACACUGAGGAGAGCAGGACACACAUGUUUAGGACACUGUUCACUCAAGCUGGACCCCGCCCCCCAGACCCAGCCCCUGCACACAACACAAGCCUACUAACCACCCAUAGCAUGAGGAGCCCCAGACAGACGCCUCUUGACAACAGUUCCAGACACACAGGGAGCAAGCAAGCAAGAUGGCUCAGUGGGUAAAGGGCUUGCUGCCCAAGCCUGACUGAGUUUGAUCCCUAGGACCUGUGGAUGAACCAAAAGAAACAUAGUUCUCAUGAGGGCAUGGUGGCACAUGCCUUUAAUCCCAGGACUAGGGAGGCAGAGGCAGGAGGAUCUUGGUGAGUGUGAUGCCUGUAGCCUGGUCUGCAAAGCAAGUUCAGGAAUAGCUAGGGCUUGUUCAAAACCCUGAAUCAAAACCAAAAAGAGAAUACAGUUCUCUGGGGCCCAGUAGGGAAAACCAGGAGACACGGUAGACAUGUGGAGGGUCCAGGGUGUUGCAGCUCCCUACCCAGGUCAGACAAACCUAUGUGUCCUUGCAGUGAAACAGACGGAGGCAGAGUGUCAUCUGCGGGACAGCAUCUUCAGAGUAGACGCCAGGCCUGGGUGCCACCCCCAGCACACAAGAACAGCAAACGGUAUGGAUUUAAUAACCGCAAACAAGAUGACCUGACGCCGUAAUAGUCACACUUUCAACCACAGAGACCCUCAAAGGACCUCAAAGGGAGCUGGGGAACGGGAAGACACCCCAGGGUAACUCCACAGCUGGUAAAGGGCUUAACUGAAAAUGGAUGGAGGAAGGAGGGUUAGCAUACAGACCCAACUCUGGCAUCCACACCUGGUUCCUGGUCAAUGGUGGGGGGUGGGGGGUUACUAUGAAAAAACUCGACAGCCCCUUCCCAGGCUAGGAAAAGUGUCUCUGAAAUGUAGGGUAAACAGGAGGCAGCAGAAGUGGAAGUGUGGCUGCACAUGCAAGACCGGGGUCUGAGGACUGUGUCUGGAGGUCCUGAGCCAGCAGGGUGAGGAAGCCACUCCAUUUCCUUCUGGCGUUUAAUGUAACAUGGCAGCCGCAGGCAGACCCAGGAGUGAACCCAGGAAAGUCUGAUUAGUGAUUCGGGCGCUGGCCACACAGACUCUUUCUUUCUUCCCACCUUCACAGACAUUACUUCACCAAGCCCUUGGGUUCUUCCCCAACAGGUUCUCACAGGCAGGUCCUAAGUAGUAGAGGGAAGGCAGAGCCCAGGGGCAGCCUUCAGGAGACCAGAACGGCACAUGGCCGCCCAAGCUGCCAGUAAGCGUAGAACACAGAGAAGACGUGUUGACUUCUCUCUGCUUUGCCAGAAGCCCGGGCUGUCUCUCACCAACGACUCUACAAGUUUAGGAAAAACUGAGUGUCCAAAAGUGAGUCCCAAAACAAGUGUCUAGGAUUCCACAGGGCAGACUCAUAAUCUGCCUCGCCCUCCGUGAGCAUCAAGAGCCCGAGUUGCCUCAAGUCAUUCUCAUACAAGCCAAAAACGGACAAAAAAAAAAGGGUGAAGUGGGGGUGGGGGGAGCCUACAUCAAUGAAAUUUCAGUUUUAUCUCUAGGGGCGUCUCAGAUGAUCCCUCAAAGCCUCUGUGUGCCAGGCCAAGUGAAGCAGUGUAAAUAGACUGAUGGCUGUUUUAGGUGACUCUGCGUGUCAUACAGGAAGUCCCUGUGUUCGGCACCCACUGAGUCCACGGGGUGUGAGGUACUGCGUUGGCUCUGAGCGCACAAAGUGAACGAGACUCCUACCCUUCCCCAUUAGCAGAGAUCUACUGUGUACCCUGACAAGGACUGUGAGGAAAAGAGUAGAAGCUGAGGGAAGGGCCUGGCCGGUCCUCCAAGGCUCAGGCGUAGCAGCAAGGCCUGGGUAAGGGAAGUGCUGCUUUGCCUGACAGACAGGGCUGGGCCAAGAAGGAAGAAAUUCAAGCUGGAGGCAAAAGGAAGCUGUACUCCCAGGUCACCCAGUGAGCCCAGACUCUGUCCUUCCUGGAACAAAGGCCAGUGUGGGUUUAGAGCUCAGAGAGGAGGACAACAGGGUAGGUGAGGCUACCGGAGGCCAGGCUGGACAUCUCAAAGACUUGGAUACAAACAUUUGUUUUCUUAUGUCCUUUAGAGUUCUGAAGGCCAAAGCCUUCCCGAAGACACACUAAUACUCAAUUGCUGAGCACAGCGGCGGACAACCAUCGUCCCAGCACUGGGGAGGCCAAGGAAGAGAGAACUGCUUGAAGCCAGGAUUAAGGCCAGCCUAGGUCACCCCAUCUCUGAGGGAGCACAGGAGAAAGGCAGGAGAAAGAAAAGACCACACACAGGGGUACACACCUACGAUUCCAGCAUUCAGGAGGCUGAGACGGGAGGAUAUGGGCUCAAAGCCAGCUAGGCUAGAUGGAGUCCCCGUCUCAAAAGAAAGGGAGAGAGUGAGAAGCCAAGGCGUGGUUGACACAGCACAUCAAAUACAAACAGAUGAGCAUCCGCUAACACCAGUUAACCACCAGCAAACCAACGACGAGAACGCUUGGCCUUUAACAACUGUCUGACUCAGUCUAUGCGAAUGGAAAGCCAGGUUCCCCCACUGCAUCCCAAAUCAAAUAUCAUAAUGAAAGGGCCCUUGGACAAGAAAACCUAUCUCGAGGCUACGUCUGGCUCCAUUCCCAUGAUGCAGCUCACUGGAAAGGGAAACUUCAGGGAUGAGUUGUCAUCAGGCUCCCCCAAGAAGGUGGGACUCCAGUGGGAACCCAGGUCUGGAGAGAACUGGUGGAGCCGAGUGGUACGUUCCAGGCAUACUGCAAGCAAGGAAAACGGGUGCGUCACGGGAGACGCGUGGGGGCACAGCUGAUCCUACCUAAAGGGCACAGCACCUAGCCUACUGCCAGCCCUGGUGAGGUCCAUCCUUCCCAAAAGUCAUCUGGGCAGCCCAGGGCACCGAGCUGCAGUCCCGACUGACACACUUCAGGAAAAAGGUGGGGUAUGACUAUCUACCACAGGAGGAGGAACCACAGAGAGCUUUGAUUGCUAAGAUUAAAAAAAAAAAAAAAAAAAAAAAGAGCAAUGCCAAAGAGAAGGGAGAAAGGGGAAGGGGGAAACUCAAGUUGUUGUAGCAUUAUGCAAGCAAAAUUCCAGGCAUAAGCCAGGAAAUUCAAAGGUCAUGGUUCCCACAGCAACAGUAACCUGACCCGUCGGCGUAUGUAGCCUUUGGCGGUGCCAGAACCAAAGCAACCUAUCAUGCCAAUGCUCGCUGAGCAGCUCCCGCCAGCCCUGCAUACCUGCUGCACAGGUACCCCACUAAGUCUGCACAUGCCCAGCAGACCACACCCUGCUGUGUGAGGCUCACCUGGUGUCCAUGCCAGGCUGCACCAGGCCCACAAUGGGCUUGGCCGGCCCCAGUUCUUCUUGGCAGACGCUCAUCGUGCCUCCGCCCACACCUGCCCACUGUGGGAUUUUAAUCUUAACUCUCUGUGGGGUGUAGAACCACAGCGAAUCCAACUGGCCGGGUACACGAGGGAGCAGGAAAACGUGUGUGUGUGUGUGUGUGUGUGUGUGUGAGUUAAAGGUUAUCGACGCUCGUCAGCUCUCCCACGGGGUAGCAUCCAAGCCUCGCCACGUGGAAAAACUUGAAAGUGCCGGAGGUAGUGCCAUGCUUCGGGGAACGUCAUCAAAAAGAUGAAAUCUGCAAGGUGGCUCAGCAGAAGAAAGGGAGCUUGUAGCUAAGCCUGAAACCAUGAGCCAAUCUCCAGAACCCACACGGUACAAGGAGAGAGUAAACUCCUCCGAGAUGUCCUCUGACCUCCUCAAGCAUAUACCUACAUUAAAAAAAAAAAAAGGGAACAGAAGCCAUCUUGAUGGCUCACAUCUGUAAUUCCUGCCCUCAGGAGGCAGAGACAGUUCAAGGACAGCCUAGUAUCAAGACCUUGCCUCCCUAUGGUAUGGUAACAUACCUGUAAUCCUAUGACGUGGAAGGUGGAGGCAGGUCAGGAGGACCAGGACUUCAAAGUCACGCUCUACAUGGCAAGUUCAAACGGCCACCUGGACUACAUGUGACCUUUGUCUCAAAAAGAGGGGGGAAAAGGCAAACAACAAACUCACAGCCCACUGAAAGGAAGAAGGCUGUAGGCCACGGUCUACUGAAAGUCUUGUUACUGGAGAAUUCCUAAUUAAGCUCCUAAGUGAGUCUAGACGCAGGCAGUCACCAGACCCUGCACCUAUGCAGACACACAAGAUGGGCAGAGAGAGAGGUGGGUCAUGAGGCCACCCCUCCAUUCUCACUCCUGGAGUGGGAUAGUUAAAGUAGAGAGGCGAUCCUGAGCCUUUACAAAGGACAAGUCCCCCAGAGGGCCUUCUCCCAAAUUGCCACCAGAGGAGACCAAGGAUUCGGAAUUCCUCCUCUGUCUGGGACAUGGCUCAUGGAAACAGCAUAGCUCCCCAGAUCUGGGCAAAGGAUGGCUUUCCCAUUCCUAAGCUCUGGGUGCAUGAACACAGUCUAGGCAGGCAGCAGCCCGGGGUGUCUGAGCAGUUGUGGGCCUCAGCAAGGCUGGAGAGACAUGCUUUGCAUAUGGCUACAGAAAUUAAAGCCACAUACGGGAAGACUCAUGGCAGGGGACCUAACAGGAAGGUGUGACAAACCAGAAAUGUCUGCAGGGGCACUGCUGUCACCACACUGUGAACUGAAGCACAGGUCCUGAGGCCCUUCACUGGAGAGGGCUGGGUCUAUGUUAACCCUUUGCCUGCUUUUAACGGUUGGACAAGCCAGCCCUCUGAGAACAUCUAUGCUGUGAGAAGCACCAGUUGAGGCAGGAUUUCACUGACUGGUUAUAAUUUCACACAGUGGCUAUCAGUAGCUACCUUGUGUUGAAGACGAACAGUUGGCGGUGACAGGACAAUGAACUCAAAUCCUGCGACUCCAGGGCCUACGAUCUUAACCAUGUCACAUCUAUCAUCAGUGUAUCAAACCAUGACCCCAGCAGGCACCAAAACACAGGCCAAGGUCAUUCCCAGAGCAUUCUUAGAAAGAACUGUCCGAUUCGGGCCAACCUUGUGAUCGAAGAACCAUAUGCAAACUCCUGUGCUCUGGCGCCUCGGAUGCCAACACUACCCAGUGUCACACACUUGACAGAAAUGGCUCCCAUCAGAACAGCAAUGACCGCGAGAUCAUGUUUCAUUCAAAAUUAUACUUGCCAAACAGUCAGCCACAAACACUGCCACCUCUGGGCUAAUGCUAGAUGAACAAGCAUGGAAAGAUUUUAAUUUUUAAAGAUAUUUUUUAACAUGUGUGAGUGUUUGCCUGCAGAUAUACAUACAUACAUACAUACAUACAUACAUACAUACAUAUAUACAUACGCACCACAUAUAUGCCUGGUGCCCACAAAGGCCACAAAAGGGUAUCAGAUGCCCUGGAGCUGGAGUCACAGGGAGAUAUGAGCAGCUGUGGGUGCUGGGAACCAAAUCUCUGUCCUCUGAAAAAGCAGGUGCUGUUAACCACCGGACCACCACUUCUCCAGUCCCUGAUCUAAUUCUUUUUUUUUUUUUUUUUUGGUUCUUUUUUUUUUCCGGAGCUGGGGACUGAACCCAGGGCCUUGCGCUUCCUAGGUAAGCGCUCUACCACUGAGCUAAAUCCCCAGUCCCCUGACUUAAUUCUUAAUUAAUGAACCAAUGUGUCUUGUGCUAAGGACAGAACCUAGGACCUAGAGCACUUUAGUCAAGCCGUCUACUGAUCCACAGCCCCUUGGACAUAUUUCAACUGUCACAAGCCCUACUUCACUAGCUUUCUGUAUAACAAAUCCUACGACCUCCUUGCAUUCAGACAGACAGACAGACAGACAGACAGACAGACGACAGACAGACAUCACAGUCACCCCUUUUCCUUACUUGGUUCUCCUGUUUUUAUAUAUUUUCAUUCCUAUGCCCAACCCCUCUCUCCCCGCUAUGUGAUUUAUACUGCUUGUUCAGAUUACAUUCGGAGAGAAAAAUCCGACACAUGCACUUACCCAAUUUAGGCAUGGAGAUAAAGAGCUAAGAGAGCCACGGAAGAAAUGAGUGUGAAAGGGCACAUUUAAAAAUCACCCCAACUGAACAAGAGUACCCUUGGGAGGGAAUAGGGAGGCAAAGUUUAGAACAGAGGCAGAAGGAACACCCAUUCAGAGCCUGCCCCACAUGUGGCCCAUACAUAUGCAGCCACCAAACUAGACAAGAUGGAUGAAGCAAAGAAGUGCAGACUGACAGGAACCGGAUGUAGAUCUCUCCUGAGAGACACAGCCAGAAUACAGCAAAUACAUAGGUGAAUGCCAGCAGCAAACCACUGAACUCACAACAGGACCCCCGUUGAAGGAAUCAGAGAAAGGACUGAAAGAGCUUGAAGGGGCUCGAGACCCCAUAUGAACAACAAUGCCAACCAACCAGAGCUUCCAGGGACUAAGCCACCACCCAAAGACUAUAUACAUGGACUGAUCCUGGGCUCUGACCUCAUAGGUGGCAAUGAAUAGCCUAGUAAGAGCACCAGUGGAAGGGGAAGCCCCUGGUCCUGCCAAUGCUGUACCCUCAGUGAAUGUGACUGUUGGUGGGAGGGCAGUAAUAGGAGGAGGAUGGGGAGGGGAACACCCAUACGGAAGGGGAGGAGGAGGGGUUGGGGGAUAUUGGCCUGGAAACCCGGAAAGGGAAUAAGAAUCAAAAUGUAAAUAAGAAAUACCCAAGUUAAUAAAGAUGAAAAAAAAAUCACCCCAACUGUAUCCCCAAAAGGAGGACCCUGGACAUGGAGCAGACUUUCCUGAGCACCCCCAGUUCUCCCCACCUUGCACGGGACACAGGAUCCACUAGUGAGUACAGAAGGCCACAUGACACAAACGGGGCAGCAAAUAUGAGUGUCGGCAGAACGUCGCUGUGACUGUCUGAUCGUCACCUGUCUUCUUUGGACUGCUAGAGUAUAUGGGAGGGGAUCGGGAGCAUAGAUGGUUUCACACUUUCAUUCUGGCACUUUGCGCACAUAACACAGAUGCACGUAUCAUUACUAAGCCACUUAUCAUUACUGGAGCCAAGUAAAGCUGAAAGUCUCACCGGGUGACAUGAGAGUGUUAAGGGAACCUUGGGUAAGGACAAUGUUCCGUUCUCCGGACACAUACCUCAGAAUUCCUGUAUCUACCUCAAACCCAGCUAAAUCCAGGUUUAGUUGGAAUCACGUUACACUGGCUUUUCUUUUGUUGGAGGCAUCCUGAGUCAAUGCCUUGCAAAAGCUGUACGACCUCUGCUCUGCCUGCAUAGGAUUUUAAACUUCCAAAAUCUAGGGGUUGGGGAUUUGGCUCAGUGGUAGAGCGCUUACCUAGGAAGUGCAAGGUCCUGGGUUCGGUCCCCAGCCCCGAAAAAAAAAAAAAAAAAACUUCCAAAAUCUAAAACCAAGCCAACUAGUUCUUGAGAUGACAAAGCCGGAGACUGUAGGCUAAUUCAGCUCUCUGGACUUCAAUGCCGCAAACACUUUGAAAGCCCCGAAAACAGGUAUGGAAUCUGAAAGGCUUUUUAAAGAACUAAAGGCAAACUGGACUUUACCAAAACAAACAACCUGCCCGCUUCAUGGCCUAGCCACAACCUGGAAAAUGAAAACACAACCCCGGAAGAAAGUAUUUGCAAAUCUCGUGACUGAUAAGGAAGCUGCAUUUGGAAUCUAUCAAAGAGUUCCAACAAGUCAACUAGAAAAUGACAAGCGAUUGUUUUAAAUGGCCAACUGGAGGUAAGACACCACUUCAUACUUCUGUGUGAUGAAAAUAGACAAGGCAGGUAGGAGCUGUGCACGAGAGUGCAUCUCCAUUGUCCUAGGCCCACUGUCCCAUUGGUCAGGUGACUUGAGCCCAGAGUCCAACAGGAGCAAGGGAAGAAAGGAAGAGUAAGGUUAGCGAAGAUGCGGAGAAACUGGACCUCUUCUGUAGUGCUGGGGGGUGGGGGAGUACUGAGGCAGUUCUGUCAAACGUUAUGCACCACUUACCCUGCAACUGAGGAAUUUCACACCUAUAUCUGAACAACCAGGAGAAAAGAAAUCACACAGCCACACAGAGACACAAGCAUUCCUAGUAACUCGGUAAGGGAACAGAGCCCCCAUACUGUGGAUGGACAAAAGUCUCAACCGGUGAAACGGGGUACGGAUUGCUGAAAGUUCAUGGCUAGCCUGGUCUAGAUUGUGAAUUUUACAGAAUAUUAACCAGCUACAAAAUGUAAGAGGUCUGAUGUUCACAAGUACAGGGAUAAGCCUGGGAAACAGGCUGAAGGGAAAGAAAACAAAACAAAACAAAACAAAAACCACCACAGUCAGGAAAACAAAACAAAACUACAUAAAACUACAUAUACCACUGCUCCUUUAUAUGACAAAUGUAUUGACAGGAAAAGCAGAGUCAGGGAGAGACAGGGUACAGGGCUGCUUUGAGGGACCACAGAAAUGUCUGUAACUCCAGUUCAGUUAAAUUAUAAUCAGUUAAAUUGAUUACAGUAGAUAUUUUACAGCUCUUAAUACAUUAAAAACCAGUAAAUUGUACAAUUUGUUUUGUUCUGUUUUCUGAGACAGUUUCCCUGUGUAGCCCUGGCUGUCCUAGAACUCAACUCCACAGACUAGGCUGGCCUCAGACUCAGAGAUCUGCCUGCGUUCCCCUCCCGGGAAGGCAUGCAUCACCAGCACCCAGCGGACUGUACAAUUUAAAUGAUCUGUAUUGUUUUAUAAAGCCAUUGGAGUUUUAAUAAUUUCUUUAUUUUGUGUACAUUUUGUGUUUUGCCUGCACGUAUGUCUAUGUGCAGAUGUCUGAUCCCCUGAACUGGGGUUAAGAGACAGCACCGACACGUGAGCUGCCACGUGGGUGCUGGGAACUGCAGGACCUCUGGAAGAGCAACCCGUGUUCCUAACCACCGAACCAUCUCUCCAGAUCCACUCCUAUAUUUCUUUAAUCCAUAUAUUCACACUUGUGUGCUGCGUGCCUGCAGAGGCCAGAAGAGGGUGUAACUGGAGCUAUGGAAGGUUAUAAGCUGCCAUGCUGGAAAUUCAUUAAAAGAAAUUCCCAAUGCAACCA